rnacentral:rRNA from 1 species
GACGAACGCUGGCGGCGUGGAUUAGGCAUGCAAGUCGAACGGUAGGAUACCUUCGGGUAUCUGAGAGUGGCGAACGGGUGAGUAACACGUAGGUGAUCUACCCUCAAGAUUGGGACAACCCAGGGGAAACUUGGGCUAAUACCGGAUGAAAGCAGCAGUGAUGUUGUUUGAAAGGUGGCGUAAGCUGCCGUUUGGGGGAUGAGCCUGCGCUCUAUUAGUUAGUUGGCGGGGUAAAGGCCCACCAAGGCGAUGAUAGAUAGGCGGCCUUAACGGGUGGUCGCCCACACUGGGAUUGAGAUACGGCCCAGACUCCUACGGGAGGCAGCAGUCGAGAAUAGUCUACAAUGGCCGAAAGGCUGAUAGUGCGACGCCGCGUGAACGAAGAAGCCCUUCGGGGUGUAAAGUUCCUUUAUAUGUGAGCAGUGCUUUCUAUGUGAACAGCAUGGGGAGAGAGAUAUUAGCAUAUGAAUAAGCAACGGCUAACUCCGUG